rnacentral:tRNA from 1 species
CGCGGGGUGGAGCAGUCUGGUAGCUCGUCGGGCUCAUAACCCGAAGGUCGUAGGUUCAAAUCCUUCCCCCGCAACCC